rnacentral:rRNA from 1 species
UGGGGAAUCUUGCGCAAUGGAGGAAACUCUGACGCAGCUACGCCGCGUGCAGGAAGACACCCCUACGGGGCGUAAACUGCUUUUCUGCGAGAAGAAGGCCACUCUCCGAGAGGAGAGGGUUUGACGGUACCGCAGGAAUAAGCACCGGCUAACUCCGUGCCAGCAGCCGCGGUAAUACGGAGGGUGCAAGCGUUGUCCGGAAUCACUGGGUGUAAAGGGUGUGCAGGCGGACGGGUAAGUCAGUGGUGAAAGCCCGCAGCUCAACUGCGGAAGUGCCAUUGAAACUACUCGUCUUGAGUCCCGGAGGGGCUGUCGGAAUUCGUGGUGUAGCGGUGAAAUGCGUAGAUAUCACGAGGAACACCAGAAGCGUAAGCGGACAGCCGGACGGUGACUGACGCUCAGGCACGAAAGCGUGGGGAGCAAACAGGAUUAGAUACCCGUGUAGUCC